rnacentral:rRNA from 1 species
UACAGAGGUCUCGAGCGUUUGUUCGGAUUCAUUGGGCGUAAAGGGUGCGUAGGUGGCGUGGUAAGUCUGGUGUGAAAUCCCGGGGCUCAACCCCGGAACUGCACUGGAUACUGCCAUGCUUGAGUACUGGAGAGGAGAUUGGAAUUUACGGUGUAGCAGUGAAAUGCGUAGAUAUCGUAAGGAAGACCAGUGGCGAAGGCGAAUCUCUGGACAGUUACUGACACUGAGGCAGCGAAGGCCAGGGGAGCAAACGGG